rnacentral:rRNA from 1 species
GUCUUUUUGAAUUAAUAAUUUAAAGUCUAAUCUGCCCACUGAUAAAUAAUUAAAGGGCUGCAGUAUUUUGACUGUACAAAGGUAGCAUAAUCAUUAGUCUCUUAAUUAGUGACUUGUAUGAAAGAUUUGAUGAAAUAUAAACUGUCUCUUUAUAAUUUUUAGAAUUUAAUUUUUUAGUUAAAAAGCUAAAAUAUAUUUAAAAGACGAGAAGACCCUAUAGAGUUUAAUAUUUAAUUUAUAUUAAAAAUUUUUUAUAAAAUUUAUAAUUUUGAUAAAUUUAAAUAUUUUGUUGGGGUGACAAAAAAAUUAAAAUAACUUUUUUUAUAAUUUUACAUUUAUAAAUGAAUAAAUGAUCCGUAAUUUACGAUUAUAAGAAAAAAUUACCUUAGGGAUAACAGCGUAAUUUUUUUUUUUAGUUCAAAUAAGAAAAAAAGUUUGCGACCUCGAUGUUGGAUUAAGAUAAAAUUUAAAUGCAAAAGUUUAAAAUUUUUGAUCUGUUCGAUCAUUAAAAUCUUACA